rnacentral:snRNA from 1 species
AUCGCUUCUCGGCCUUUUGGCUAAGAUCAAGUGUAGUAUCUGUUCUUAUCAGUUUAGUAUCUGUUCUUAUCAGUUUUCGAAAGAAAAUCUGUUUAUCAGUUUAUAUCUGAUACGUCCCCCAUCCGGGGACUACAUAUUAAAUGGAUUUUUAGAUCACGGAGCUGGAGCCGGGGCUUGCUCCGUCCACUCCAUGCAUCGGCCUGGUAUUGCAGUGUCUCCAGGAACGGUGUGCUUUCC